rnacentral:rRNA from 1 species
CGUAAACGAUGAGUGCUAAGUGUUAGGGGGUUCCGCCCUUUAGUGCUGCAGCUAACGCAUUAAGCACUCCGCUGGGGAGUACGACCGCAAGGUUGAAACUCAAAGGAAUUGACGGGGGCCCGCACAAGCGGUGGAGCAUGUGGUUUAAUUCGAAGCAACGCGAAGAACCUUACCAGGUCUUGACAUCCUUUGACCACUCUAGAGAUAGAGCUUUCCCUUCGGGGACAAAGUGACAGGUGGUGCAUGGUUGUCGUCAGCUCGUGUCGUGAGAUGUUGGGUUAAGUCCCGCAACGAGCGCAACCCUUAUUGUUAGUUGCCAUCAUUCAGUUGGGCACUCUAGCGAAACUGCCGGUGACAAACCGGAGGAAGGUGGGGAUGACGUCAAAUCAUCAUGCCCCUUAUGACCUGGGCUACACACGUGCUACAAUGGACAGUACAAUGAGCAGCGACACGGCGACGUGAAGCGAAUCUCAUAAAGCUGUUCUCAGUUCGGAUUGUAGGCUGCAACUCGCCUACAUGAAGCCGGAAUCGCUAGUAAUCGCGGAUCAGCACGCCGCGGUGAAUACGUUCCCGGGCCUUGUACACACCGCCCGUCACACCACGAAAGUUUGUAACACCCAAAGUCGGUGAGGUAACCUUCGGGAGCCAGCUGCCUAAGGUGGGAUAGAUGAUUGGGGUGAAGUCGUAACAAGGUAACCA